GCUCCACUCCUAAUGAAUUACGUUUACAUCUGCAUGCCAAAUUAUUAUUUGAGUGAAUAUGAGUUGUGGGAUUUCAACGGAGAACAAAAAUGGGAAUAUGGACAGAGUGGAAGAGUCAGGAUCUGUUUACUCUCCUAGCAUGAACUUCACGUUAUAACGUUAUCCUGGCGAUAUCAGAGAGAUGCUCAUCAAGGCAAGGUGAUGAUUGCCAGAGGGAAAACAAAGAACCUGUAGUUGUGCAUCACCUGUGUGAUCAUGAUAAGGCUGAAGAACCAGAAGUGACAAGAUAUCACCGGCUGCUGGGGU